GCCGUGAUCGUAUAGUGGUUAGAAAAUUGCGUUGUGGCCGCAAUAACACAGGUUCGAAUCCUGGUCACGGCA
rnacentral:tRNA from 1 species